rnacentral:rRNA from 1 species
AGUGUAGGCGGCUAUUUAAGUCGGAUGUGAAAGCCCCGGGCUCAACCUGGGAAUUGCAUUCGAAACUGAAUAGCUAGAGUUUGGUAGAGGUAAGUGGAAUUCCGGGUGUAGCGGUGAAAUGCGUAGAUAUCCGGAGGAACAUCAGUGGCGAAGGCGGCUUACUGGACCAAAACUGACGCUGAGGCUCGAAAGCGUGGGGGGCAAACAGGAUUAGAUACCCUGGUAGUCC